rnacentral:rRNA from 1 species
CACGUAGGGCGCAAGCGUUGUCCGGAAUUAUUGGGCGUAAAGAGCUCGUAGGCGGUCUGUUACGUCUGCUGUGAAAAUCCGGGGCUUAACCCUGGGCUUGCAGUGGAUACGGGUAGACUAGAGGCAGGUAGGGGAGAAUGGAAUUCCCGGUGUAGCGGUGAAAUGCGCAGAUAUCGGGAGGAACACCGGUGGCGAAGGCGGCGUCCUGGACCAAUACUGACACUGAAACGCGAAAGCCAGGGGAGCAAACGGG